rnacentral:rRNA from 1 species
AGAGUUUGAUCCUGGCUCAGGAUGAACGCUGGCGGCGUGGAUAAGGCAUGCAAGUCGAACGACUCACUUCGGUGAGGAGUGGCGAAUGGGUUAGUAACACGUAGAUAAUUUGCCUUGAAGACAGGGAUAACUCCGCGAAAGCGGAGCUAAUACCUGAUAGUAAUGAAAUGACUUAAGUUAUUUCAUUUAAAGUUGCAGCAAUGUAUUCGCUUCAAGAUAAGUCUGCGGUCCAUCAGCUUGUUGGUAAGGUAAUGGCUUACCAAGGCUAUGACGGAUAGGGGAUGUGAGAGCAUGGUCCCCAACAAUGGCACUGAGAUACGGGCCAUACUCCUACGGGAGGCAGCAGUCGAGAAUAAUUCGCAAUGGGGGAAACCCUGACGAUGCGACGCCGCGUGCAGGAUGAAGGUCUUCGGAUCGUAAACUGCUUUUAUGGAGGAGGAACCUCGUUUACGAGGUGACAGUACUUCAAGAAUAAGGGGCUGCUAAUCACGUGCCAGCAGCAGCGAUAAUACGUGAGCCCCGAGCGUUAUCCGGAUUUAUUGGGCGUAAAGGGUUCGUAGGCGGUUGGAAAAGUCUAAGGUUAAAUACCCAGAGCUUAACUUUGGGAAUGCUUUAGAUACUAUUCAACUAGAGGGCGUUAGAGGCUGAUAGAACGAUCGGUGUAGGGGUGAAAUCCGUUGAUAUCGAUGGGAAUACCAAAAGCGAAGGCAUUCAGCUGGGGCGACCCUGACGUUGAGGAACGAAAGCGUGGGGAUAGAACGGGAUUAGAUACCCCGGUAUUCCACGCCGUAAAUGAUGGAUACUAGCUAUUUGAAGUGUCGACCCUUCAGUUGGCGAAGCUAACGCGUUAAGUAUCCCGCCUGGGAGUUACGGCCGCAAGGCUAAAACUCAAAGGAAUAGACGGGGACUCACACAAGCGGUGGAUCAUGUGGCUUAAUUCGACGAUAAACGAGGAACCUUACCAAGGCUUGUAGGCUAGUGAAGUUUUUCUGAAAAGUAAAAUGUCUCACAAGGACACUAGUCCAGGUGCUGCAUGGUUGUCGUCAGCAGGUGUCUUGAGAUGCUCCCUUCAAUGGGGAAACCUGCGCAACCCCUGCUCUAUGUUUUAUAUGUCAUAGAGGACUGCCCGAGACAAUCGGGAGGAAGGUGGGGAUGACGCCAAAUCAGCAUGGCCCUUUGAUGUCUUGGGCUGCACACAUGAUACAAUGGCCGGUACAAUGGGUUGCGAAACCGUAAGGCGGAGCUAAUCCCACCAAAGCCGGUCUCAGUUCGGAUUGAGGUCUGAAACCCGACCUCAUGAAGCUGGAAUCGNUAGUAAUCGCCAAUCAGCUAUGUGGCGAUGAAUUCGUCCCUGAGUCUUGUACUCACCGCCCGUCACACUAGGGAAGCCGGCGGUAGCCGAAAUCUCUGUUUAUCAGGGCCUAAGCUAAAGUCGGUGACCAGAGUGAAGUCGUAACAA